GCUUACGGCCACACCGGCCUGAGUACGCCUGAUCUCGUCCGAUCUCGGAAGCUAAGCAGGGUCGGGCCUGGUUAGUACUUGGAUGGGAGACCGCCUGGCAAUACCAGGUGCUGUAAGCU
rnacentral:rRNA from 1 species